rnacentral:lncRNA from 1 species
CUAUCCUAAGUUUUGAGACUUCUUAGCAUUGGAAAUUGUACAUGUAAAGUAUUCAUGGAGAAAGAAUGAAUGCUUUGGAGAAAAUAGUUUUUUAAUAGGUCUUCUCAUUAAGAAAAGUCUGUUUAUAUCUCUGAUGCUGCUUUUUUAGAUUUUAUUAUACCUUUAAAACCAGGAAGGAGGAGCUGGGGUUGAUGCUCAGUGGUGGAACGCUUGCUUAGCAUAUGUGAGGCACUGGGUUUGAUUCUCAGCAACUCAUAUAAAUAAAUUAACAAAAUAAAGGCCCAUCAACGGCUAAAAAAAAAUAUUUUUUAAAAAAUUCAGGAAGGAAAAACAACAAGAAAGCCAAUGCCCAGAUCUCUAAAAAGCACUGAUUUUGAUGAUAAGGUCAUACUAAGUGGUAGAGCUGUUGCCUAGCAUGUACAAGGCCCUUGGUUCAAUCCUUAGCAACACCAAACACACAAGAGGGAAGCAGCAUUAAGUAUGGGAAAAAAAUAGGUUAGGGUGAGAUAAUGGAAAGCCACAAAUGAUAAGAAUCUUCAACUUUGGUAUUGACAAUAUGGUUUCCUCUCCCAGAACUUCAGAAACUUUCACCAGACAGCUUGGACAUUUUAGAUAGAAUAAGCUACAGAUAACUUUUACUAACCUAGUUGGAUGAUAUCAGUGAGAAACUGCAAAUUAAAGAGUUUUUUCCUAUCUCCUUUUCCCAAAUAUACUGAUGUUUUUGCCUCUGCCAUUCAUUCCUCCCUUUUCUGGUAGCAAAACCUUGGUUUUCUCUUGGGAAAGCACCCUUUCACUAUGGAGUUCAAAUGAGGCAGAAUAGCCUCCAGAAUGGAUAUGUGAAUCAAGUCCUGCCAAUUCUGGAAAUUGUUAAAAUUUACAGACAUAUUUUCUACUAGCAUUACCUUUAAAGAUGAGGUGAGUCUGGAGUUAAAUGUGAGAGUAGCUGGCUGCCUGACAGAAUAAACUUGAUACAAAAAAAAGCAGAAAUGAAGGCCGGGGUUGUAUCUCAGUGGUAGAGUGCUCACCUGGCAUGCAUGAGGUACUGGGUUCGAUUCUCAGCACUGCAUAUAAAUAAAGAUCCAUCAACAAUUAUAA